GUGAGGAAUAUUGGACAAUGGAGGAAACUCUGAUCCAGCCAUGCCGCGUGAGUGAUGAAGGCCUUCGGGUUGUAGAGCUCUUUCGGGUGUGAAAAUGAUGAUGGUCACACCAGAAGAAGCCCCGGCUAACUCCGUGCCAGCAGCCGCGGUAAUACGGAGGGGGCGAGCGUUGUUCGGAAUCACUGGGCGUAAAGCGUGCGUAGGCGGUUAUACAAGUCAGGAGUGAAAUCCCAGGGCUCAACCUUGGAAUUGCUUUUGAGACUGUAUGACUAGAGAUCUAGAGAGGUUGGGGGGAUUCCGAGUGUAGAGGUGAAAUUCGCAGAUAUUCGGAGGAACACCAGUGGCGUAGGCGCCCAACUGGCUAGAUACUGACGCUGAGGCACGAAAGCGUGGGGAGCAAACAGGAUUAGAUACCCUAGUAGUCC
rnacentral:rRNA from 1 species